GGCUUUCUGAAUUCGUGCUGAGAUUUUGUUAAACAUCAACCCUCCAGGAUCGAUGAGACUUCGAAUAUGAGUGAAGUA
rnacentral:pre_miRNA from 1 species